rnacentral:misc_RNA from 1 species
CCUCUCACAGUCGGUGUUGCGCCCUCCCCGCGCCCCCCUUCCCGCUCCAUUGGUGUAGUGGCGGACAUACCCCACGUCACACCCAGGCUCACAAACCAUUAUCAUCGACGCGACGCCCAGUGAAGACGAUACUCGCUGCCGUUCGGCUUACACUCAGCAGUGCCUCUCACGGGACAGAUAGGAACGACACCCUUCUCCUUACCCACCGCCCAGCGCCAUGCCCCCGUCGCACGUCCGCAAGGAGGAGGCGGAGCUCCGCCAUAUCGCGAAGCAGGCUCGGCUUGCACGCAAGGAGGUGCAGCAGCGCGAGCGGAAGCAGCGCCAGCGUGAGCGGCGCGCGGCCGCCAAGAACGGUGAGGCAUCUACUGCUGCUCAGCAGACCGCUGCGUCUUCGGCAAUGAGAAAGCGAGGGGCAAUCAUUCUUCCAGAUGAGGUCCAGGAGCUGCGCCAGCGGCUCAUGGGCGACGACGCCGCCAGCUCUGCGUCUGCGGCCAACUCUCCCGAGAGAAAGACGAAAAAGGCGGCAGCAAGGAAGGCCGCCCGCUCUCCCGCGAAGAAGUCCGCAGCCGCUGCCGGGGACAGCAACCACAGCGCCGCCUCCUCCUCCUCCUCCACACUAGUUCCCACGUAUCACCAGGAGGUGCACUUCAAGAAGAAGAUGUUCUUUGUGGAUGUGGUUCUGCACCACGUCCCGCAUCAGAAGAUCGACAUCAGUGAGACGAACACGAAUCAGCUGGUGGUCGACACGUGCGGCCACACGAAGAAGUACCGCCUUGUGCUGCCGUACCCGAAGGGCAUGCUGUGCGACGCUGCGGCGGCCACGUACGAGUUCGAGAACGGCAUCCUGCAGUGCCGCCUUCCCAUCAUGGAUGGCGCCAUCCCGGCCAGUCUCGAGGCAGAGAACGAGAGGAUGAUCGAAAAGAUGCGUCAGCAGAAGGCGCUGCGCUUCCGCGUGACGCGGGAUGGCGACUUGACGGUGCGCACGCGCCAGGCGCUGCUGACGCAAACGCCCGCCGUCCAGGCUGCGCUGCCAGAGGCGAAGAAGGCGGCAGCAGCACAGCGCGGUGACGACACGGAUAGCGACAACGAGGCCGUCAACGCCCAGGCGCGAGAGGCGAAGGGGACGAAAAAGAUGGCUAGUCCCAAAUCUCGGAAGCGUACUCGCGACGGCGACGAGGAGGAUGGCAAGGAGACGCCGCAGCAGACCAGGUCUGUAUCAGCGAAGAAAGCGAAGGGCGCGGCUGCUGCGGAGAACGCUUCGCCGAAGGAGGCUGCCGCGGCAUCGAAGCCGGCCUCGAAGAAGUCGAAGCCUGAAGACUUCAAGGCUGAGCACGCCAAGGCGAUGGAGGCUGCAAAGGCGGCCGCGGCCAAGGUUCACCUCUCCAUGCGCGAGCGGAUGAAGCUGGCCAAGGCAGUGCAGGCGAGCCGCGAGGAGCGCCUGCAGACUCGCUCCCUUCGCAAGGAGCGUAAGGAGGAGCAGAAGCAGAAGUCUUUCCACCGUGUCUUGGAGGAGCAGAAACGCCAGCUGCUGGCCCGCGCGUCGAUGCAGCAACCGACGCCACGCCCCACCGCGAGGGCAAACGCGUCUGCGAAGGCGGUGCACUUCGCCGACGCGUGAGAGGACCUGCCCCUCUUCGUCUACGCGCUCUAACGGAGAAAUUGUUCAGGCAGGUGUCACGCAGACGUACAGAUGGGCGGCCCGGCCUGGCAGCCGUUGGGAAGGAUGCCUGCUUGCUUGCAGAUGGUGACAAGUCAAGGAGGAAGAGGAGGGUGGUGAUGGUGGUCGUGGGGUAUGAAGGGUGCCUAUUCCUACGAGGCAGUAAUCCUCCUUGCGUUCACCUCUCACACCGCGCGCUCUCGCUCACUCGUUUCCACCCUCUCCCCCACCGAUCUCCGCUUCUCUAAGACACCCGUAACAUGCACGCUGAUAAUACUGCAUCGACUAAAGGAGCGCGAAGGUGGGCGGGGUUUGCGCGACGGCACGCUUUUG